GCAUGAAUUGAAAAAUAAAAUAUUGCACCAUGUAUUGACUGGCUAGACUUGUGCUCACAAGGCAGAUUGGGUUUACCUUCAACAGGCUGAUAUUUCUUAAAUUUAGGUAACUUUGAGAUACAAAUUUAUCUAUCACAAGAAAUAGUGGCUACUUUUUGAAUUCAGGCAAUCUUGAAAUGCAAAUUUAUCUAUCGCAAGAUAUAGUGGACAGGACCAUGAAAAGGAUAACAGCAAAAAAAUUCGUUUUACAGAUUCACAGAUUGAUGCAAAAUCUUCACAAGCCGGCAAAUUGAGUGUAUAAGAAAAUUUUUGGGGAUGAAUAAUGGUUCCAAUUAGCUAAUCAUAGUUGGCACAUCUAGGCUUUGACUAGUUCCAACAGCCGAGCCAGGCUUGUUGAGGUCAUCAGGCGUAUGCUUAAGUCUAAUGAGACUCUGAGACUCAAAUGAGAAUGGAUUUGGGAAGUCCGGUAAAGAGAGGACUAAUCUUGGAUUGUUAUGAUAAUUCUAAAAAUAUCAUAUGUUAGUAAAAAAAAAAGGAUUUAGUUGAACCCUAGUGAUGCAUAGAUGAUGUUCAAUGAUUAGAUAAGUUAGAUUAGCUCUGGAUGAGUUAGGAGCCAGAUUGGCACAUGUAAGACCCGGAUGAGAUCAAAAAGGUCCAAUUUGAUGCUUCAUUGUAUUGAAAAUCAUAUAUAGCAUGUAUCAAGGUAUGCUGAACCGAUCAGUUCUGGUCGGUUCAGCCUGUACCGUACCGGUGCCGACAGGCACCGGUACGGUACAGUAUAUAAAAACGGUUCCGACUGGAUCGGAACCGAUUGGUUCCGUACUUGUACCGGUGCGAACCGGUCCGGUUCGCACGGGCCCAAACGCGUUUUUUCCGUGCAUCCACAUGCGGGGAAGAGCGCAGACGCGUGCGGACACAUAGUUUUUUUUUUUUUGGGAAUCACGCGUAGACGCGCGAGCGGAGAAUCAUGUGCCCGCACGCGAUUCCCCGUGCAGGAACCGCGCCCGCGGCUGAUUCCCCAAUAGAGAAUCACGCUCGCGCGUGGUUCCCCGCACAGGGCAGUGCGCCCACGCAGGCUGCCAGCCCGCGUAUGGCAUUAAAUGCCACUAUAUGGCAUUUAACGCAUUUGCGGACGCGCGCGGACGCAUUGUUUUCUUAUUUUUUUUAGUUUUUUUUUUGACGUCCGCGCACGCGCGGCUGCGAACGCGCUCGUCUCCAGUUCGGUAUCGGUUCCAACCGGUACCGAACCGGUACCGUACCAGUACCGGUGUUCACCGGUACGGUCGGUCCGGCGAACCUUGCCAUGUAUGAAUUUCAAUGGGAGAAAAAACCUGUCUUUUUAUGGCAUGUUAGUUUACUAAAUGAGUGUAAUUAUCUUGAGCUGAAUUAGGUAUAGAACAUGAUGUUGCUUGAGGCCAUCAAACAUGCUGAAGUAUCAUGCUGUACAUUGUUCAUGGUUAUAGAAUGAAGUGAUGAUAAAGUGCUGCAAGGAAAUGGACCCUAGAAACAGAUUUAAACAUAUACCCAAGUGCCUGGUCAACAAGAAUAUGGAGAAGGGGGACAUGUAGGAAAAAAUAAAUUAUUUCAACCAAGUUAUGCAUUUUAAACUUAGAAUAUUGAAGGGAAGAAAAAAUUUAAAGAUCUUACUUGUUAAUGUUCUCCAAUAUAUGCAUCUAACAACUAAGAUCCCAAAUUAUCUAAAAGGUUAUAAGAAAGAUGACAUUUCGGAUAAGUUAUUUAGUAUUUAUUCCUUGACUAAUACUCUAAAAGGAAGAUAAGCUCAUUUUAAACAUCAUUAUGGCGGAUCAAACCUAUUGUUGGAAAAUUCUACUAUUACAGCUUAACUUGGAAGCCUAAUCCUAUGUACAUGGAUGUCAAAGUCAUGGAAUGGCCAUGCGAGCCAUGCAACAUGAUUUUGCAGCAUGUCACUCAAGUAUGCUGGUUUAGUUGUGAAAUAUCGGUCUUUAGAGCAAAGUCCGAGUCUUUAUAGUUUGCCACACAAAUAACGUACUUAGUUGGAAGCAAAGUUUUCCAUACCGAUCGAUACCGUACCAUACCAGGCAAUACCGUAGUAGUACCAAACUGGUAUGGGGUACAGCACUGUAUUGACACUCGGUACGUUGAAUCUUAUGACACCAUACCAUGUAUUGAUACUGUAAUAAGAUGGUACCAGUAUGGGAUCUAGUACUGAGAUGGCAAACCUCGGUUGGAUGAAUUGUAUAGUUGAGAAGCCCUAAUGUUGUCUAGAACUCUCUUCUCUAAAAUCUAUAACUAAAGAAUCUGAUAGCAGUG